rnacentral:rRNA from 1 species
AUGAAGACCUUACUCAUCCUGACGAUCCUUGCGAUGGCAAUAACCAUCAGCACCGCCAAUAUGCAGGUCGACCCUAGUGGCCAAGUACAAUGGCCACAACAACAACUAGUCCCCCAACCCCAACAGCCAUUAUCCCAGCAACCGCAACAAGCAUUUCCCCAACCCCAACAAACAUUUCCCCAUCAACCACAACAACAAGUUCCCCAGCCUCAGCAACCACAACAACCAUUUCUCCAGCCCCAACAAGCAUUCCCCCAACAACCACAACAACCAUUCCCUCAGACUCAACAACCACAACAACCAUUUCCCCAGCAACCACAACAACCAUUUCCCCAGCAAUCACAACAACCAUUCCCCCAGACUCAACAACCACAACAACCAUUUCCCCAGCAACCACAACAACCAUUCCCCCAGACUCAACAACCACAACAACCAUUUCCCCAGUUCCAGCAACCACACCAACCUUUUCCCCAGCCCCAACAACAAUUCCCGCAGCCCCAACAACCGCAACAAUCAUUCCCCCAGCAACAACGACCGUUCAUUCAGCCAUCUCUACAACAACGUUUGAACCCAUGCAAGAAUAUCCUCUUGCAACAAUGCAAACCUGCGUCAUUGGUGUCAUCCCUCUGGUCGAUAAUCUGGCCACAAAGCGAUUGCCAAGUGAUGCAGCAACAAUGCUGCCAAGAACUAGCACAGAUUCCUCAGCAGCUCCAGUGCGCAGCCAUCCAUAGCGUCGUGCAUUCCAUCAUCGUGCAGCAGCAGCAACAACAACAACAACAACAACAACAACAACAAGGCAUGCAUAUCCUGCUGCCACUAUCUCAACAACAACAGUUGGGUCAAGGUACUCUCGUCCAAGGCCAGGGCAUCAUCCAACCUCAGCAACUAGCUCAAUUGGAGGCGAUCAGGUCAUUGGUGUUGCAAACUCUUCCAACCAUGUGCAACGUGUAUGUCCCACCUGAGUGCUCCAUCAUCAGGGCACCAUUUGCCAGCAUCAGGGCAUCAUCAGGGCACCAUUUGCCAGCAUAGUCGCGGGGAUUGGUGGCCAAUGA